CAGUGCAAGCUGGAAAAUCUAAGCAUUACAAUGAAGCAAACCAUCUUCGUGUUCGUUUUCUUUGUGUUGGCACUGGUCGUGCUGAUGGCGGAAUCGAAGCAUAUGAAUCCCGAGGAUGCCUUAACAAGACUGCGCAGAGACUGCCCUUGUUUCCCCCGCCACUGCUCCUGUGGUAUCACCGACCCUUAUCCUUUCUCUGAUACCUACCUAGCCUGAAGUCCUGACAUCACCCUGGCCAAGAAUCGAGUGAGCACAUCUGUAGGUUUUCAACACGACUGAAGAAGGAUCAUAAGGAUGUGUGUGCGUUUGGGUGUGUAUGUGUGUGAGUGUGUUUGGACAAGGCUUUGUAACAAUCGCACAAUCACACACACAUACACACACACGUAUACAACAUACACACUCUCUCUCUCACACACACUCUCUCUCACACACACACACACACUCAUACAGAAACACACGCACAUACAUACACACAUGAGCAUUUGUAUGACAUGAAAAUAUUUAACAAUACAUAUAUCUUCAAUGUGGAUGAAUUCUUACAUGCGAAAAUAAAUUCUUUGAUUUUC